UAUAUUUUAGUAUAUGGCGUACACAGGUUUUUGGACCCUGAAGAAUAGGUUCAACUCCUAUACUUAUAA
rnacentral:tRNA from 1 species